UGUGGGGUAGAACGAACUGGCAUCGGGCUAAUAUCCCGGUGUCUUGACGGUACUGCCUUAGCAAGCAUCGGCUAACUCUGUGCCAGCAGCCGCGGUAAGACAGAGGAUGCGAACGUUGCUCGGAUUUACUGGGCGUAAAGCGCGUGUAGGCGGUCUCGUUAGUCGGGUGUGAAAGCCCCGGGCUCAACCCGGGAAGUGCACCCGAUACUGCGAGACUGGGGUACUGAAGAGGAGAGCGGAAUUCCCGGUGUAGAGGUGAAAUUCGUAGAUAUCGGGAGGAACACCAGUGGCGAAGGCGGCUCUCUGGGCAGAUACCGACGCUGAGACGCGAAAGCGUGGGGAGCAAACAGGAUUAGAUACCCUGGUAGUCCACGCUGUAAACGAUGACGACUGGGUGUUGCAGGUAUUGACCCCUGCGGUGCCGAAGCCAACGCGUUAAGUCGUCCGCCUGGGAAGUACGGCCGCAAGGCUAAAACUCAAAGGAAUUGAC
rnacentral:rRNA from 1 species